AUUCCGAAAGGGAUGCUAAUACCGCAUACGCCCUACGGGGGAAAGCAGGGGAUCUUCGGACCUUGCGCUAAUAGAUGAGCCUAAGUCGGAUUAGCUAGUUGGUGGGGUAAAGGCCUACCAAGGCGACGAUCUGUAGCGGGUCUGAGAGGAUGAUCCGCCACACUGGGACUGAGACACGGCCCAGAUUCCUACGGGAGGCAGCAGUGGGGAAUAUUGGACAAUGGGGGGAACCCUGAUCCAGCCAUGCCGCGUGUGUGAAGAAGGCCUUUUGGUUGUAAAGCACUUUGAGCGAGGAGGAGGAGCUCUAGGAUAAUACCCUAGAUGCGUGGACGUUACUCGCAGAAUAAGCACCGGCUAACUCUGUGCCAGCAGCCGCGGUAAUACAGAGGGUGCGAGCGUUAAUCGGAUUUACUGGGCGUAAAGCGCGCGUAGGUGGCUAAUUAAGUCAAAUGUGAAAUCCCCGAGCUUAACUUGGGAAUUGCAUUCGAUACUGGUUAGCUAGAGUAUGGGAGAGGAUGGUAGAAUUCCAGGUGUAGCGGUGAAAUGCGUAGAGAUCUGGAGGAAUACCGAUGGCGAAGGCAGCCAUCUGGCCUAUUACUGACACUGAGGUGCGAAAGCAUGGGGAGCAAACAGGAUUAGAUACCCUGGUAGUCCAUGCCGUAAACGAUGUCUACUAGCCGUUGGGGCCUUUGAGGCUUUAGUGGCGCAGCUAACGCGAUAAGUAGACCGCCUGGGGAGUACGGUCGCAAGACUAAAACUCAAAUGAAUUGACGGGGGCCCGCACAAGCGGUGGAGCAUGUGGUUUAAUUCGAUGCAACGCGAAGAACCUUACCUGGCCUUGACAUUCAGAGAACUUUCCAGAGAUGGAUUGGUGCCUUCGGGAACUCUGAUACAGGUGCUGCAUGGCUGUCGUCAGCUCGUGUCGUGAGAUGUUGGGUUAAGUCCCGCAACGAGCGCAACCCUUUUCCUUACUUGCCAGCAUUUCGGAUGGGAACUUUAAGGAUACUGCCAGUGACAAACUGGAGGAAGGCGGGGACGACGUCAAGUCAUCAUGGCCCUUACGGCCAGGGCUACACACGUGCUACAAUGGUCGGUACAAAGGGUUGCUACACAGCGAUGUGAUGCUAAUCUCAAAAAGCCGAUCGUAGUCCGGAUUGGAGUCUGCAACUCGACUCCAUGAAGUCGGAAUCGCUAGUAAUCGCGGAUCAGAAUGCCGCGGUGAAUACGUUCCCGGGCCUUGUACACACCG
rnacentral:rRNA from 1 species